UCCCUGGUGGUUCAGAGGUUAAAACACCUGCCUGCAAUGCAGGAGUCAUGGGGUUCGAUCCCUGGGUUGGGAA
rnacentral:tRNA from 1 species